CGCGUACGCCACCGCUCCGUGCGUACUCCCUCCAUCCGAAAAAACAUGUCCCUCAAAUGAAUAUAUCUAGCAUGAAGUUAGUGCUAGAUACAUCCAUUUGAGGAACAAGCUUGGCACAAGCUUUUUAGGACGGAGGGAGUAUCUCACAGCCGCGCCCGAUCUCUCCGAUCCCCACGCGAUACUCACGCUUAUGCACCACCCCGGGACACCCUCGUUCUGCUCUUCCGAUUCCCUGCCUCGCCUCGCGGGACAGAGCUCGAUAUCGAGCGUAGCAACCCCGGUGAGCUCCGCCAUCCUAAGCAGCGCCGACGUGAAAUUCUCCCGCCUCGGACCGCACCAAAUCGACCUCCCCAGCAAAACAAAUCUCGCCGGAGCAUACCAUCACCGUUGCAUGUUCAUCCGCCCACCAUCGUCGCUACAGGAUGCACCGGAACUCCCCGAGGACACCAAAGGCCUCCCCAUGAACCUCCUAGUCUUCCAGCAUCUUCACCGAUCUCCUACGGCCAUCGGGAGCAACGCCGUCGCCGAUCAGGGCCAUCGCCGUCUCCUCUAUUCCAAUUGCUCGGAGCGUGACGAGUAGAAUUAUCAGGAAUUGUGAGUACGACGAUCUUCAUCAAACUUACAG